GGUUUUGUACUUUAAAUUAAAAGGUUCGCGUUGCAUGCGAGGAAUGGGGGAAGUCCUUCAAAACUA
rnacentral:tRNA from 1 species